CAGGGGCUGGGAGCUGAGUGAAGCCGCCGGGAAGUCUAAGCCUACCCAGCUCCAGGGAUCUUCAGGGCUGGUUCUGUUCCCAGCAUGGGAAGGCAGGAAAAUGAAGGAGCCAUCAGCAAGCCCCAGGAGGGGUUUACAGCUCUCAGCACCCAAAAGAGUCUAAGCCUACCCAGCUCCAGGGAUCUUCAGUGCUGGUUCUGUUCCCAGCAUGGGAAGGCAGGAAAAUGAAGGAGCCAUCAGCAAGCCCCAGGAGGGGUUUACAGCUCUCAGCACCCAAAAGAGGCACAUAACACGAGUCUGGGUCACCACGGGGGAACUCUGCUGCUGCUCUUCAGCUCCAUCACCUCCCCUAAUGAUAAUUCAGCCGAACACCUCCUUGUACAACAGCUAAGAUGAUCAAACACUCUGCAGCAGGAUGAAGGCACCUCCUCUGAAGGACCUGGCUUCCCAAUUCCUUUUUAUCCUGGAGAUAAAAUAAAGAACCAUUUGCUCUG